AUUCGAUCUGUAAUAUGUGGAAUUACUUGAACUGUCUUACCUAGGUACUCACCUUUUCUCUCUUUUUUAAGAACAUCAUUAUAAAUUUUACCAGUUGUAAUGUUGUCAGAUUUUUUUGCUGAAACUCCCGAAAAUCUUUCGUAAUGACCUAAGUCUAAAUCAGUUUCCGCACCAUCAUCGGUUACAUAUACUUCACCAUGUUGACGUUGAAAAGUCUUUGGAUGACUUGUGGUAAGGGGUGAAAGGCCAACCAAAUUCGUAGAUAGCUGGUUUUCCGCGAAAACUAUUUAGGUAGUGCGUUGAAUAAAUAGAUGUUUAGAGGUAGAGCACUAAAUGGGCUAGGGGGAAGAGAUUCUUACCAAACCUAAUAAAACUCCGAAUGCUAGACAUUGUUCUUCAACAGACAGACUGUGGGUGCUAAGGUCCAUGGUCGAGAGGGAAAGAGCCCAGACCACCAGAUAAGGUCCCAAAAUUAUGAUUAAGUGUGAAAGGAUGUGGAAAUUCCUUAACAGCCGGGAGGUUGGCUUAGAAGCAGCCAUCCUUUAAAGAUAGCGUAACAGCUCACCGGUCUAAUAGAGUUUCUGCGCCGAAGAUGUAACGGGGCUAAAAUCAUAUACCGAAUCUGUGGGUUUAUAAAACUUUCGAGUUUUAUAAGCGGUAGCGGAACGUUCUGUAAGCCUGUGAAGGGAUACCCGUGAGGGAUCCUGGAGGUAUCAGAAGUGCGAAUGCUGACAUAAGUAACGAUAAAAGAAGUGAAAAACUUCUUCGCCGAAAAUCCAAGGGUUUCUGCGCAAGGUUAAUCCGCGCAGAGUUAGUCGGCACCUAAGGCGAGGGCGAAAGCCGUAGUCGAUGGAAAUAAGGUUAAUAUUCCUUAACCAGAUGGUAGUGACGGAUCUUGUAAGUUGUGUACUCUUAAUGGAUUGAGUAUGCCGCGAAAAGGUUCCAAGAAAUAGCUCCAUCAUUAGACCGUACCCUAAACCGACACAGGUGGAUUAAUAGAGUAUAUUUAGGCGCUUGAGAGAAUGAUGUUGAAGGAACUCGGCAAAAUGCUUCCGUAACUUCGGGAUAAGGAAGACCUGUUUUUAGGCAACUAGAGAUGGGUGGCACAAGCCAGGGAGAAGCGACUGUUUAUCAAAAACACAGGGCUCUGCUAACACGUAAGUGGAUGUAUAGGGUCUGACGCCUGCCCGGUGCUGGAAGGUUAAUGCGGUUGGUGCAAGCUAACUUCUGAAGCCCCAGUAAACGGCGGCCGUAACUAUAACGGUCCUAAGGUAGCGAAAUUCCUUGUCGGGUAAGUUCCGACCUGCAUGAAUGGCGUAACGAUUUCUCCGCUGUCUCCAACAUCAACUCAGUGAAAUUGAAUUCUCCGUGAAGAUGCGGAGUUCGCGUAGUUAGACGGAAAGACCCCGUGCACCUUUACUGCAACUUUACAUUGGUAUUAGGAAAAACAUAUUUAGUAUAGGAGGGAGACAUUGAAGCAAAGGCGUCAGCUUUUGUGGAGUCACCAGUGAAAUACCUCUUUUGUUUUUCUUGGUAUCUAACUGAUUGCCGUCAUCCGGCAUCAAGACAUUGUAUGGUGGGUAGUUUGACUGGGGCGGUCGCCUCCCAAAUAGUAACGGAGGCGUGCGAAGGUAGGCUCAGAACGGUCAGAAAUCGUUCGUAGAGUGCAAUGGCAUAAGCCUGCCUGACUGUGAGACUGACAAGUCGAGCAGAGACGAAAGUCGGUCAUAGUGAUCCGGUGGUUCUGAGUGGAAGGGCCAUCGCUCAACGGAUAAAAGGUACGCCGGGGAUAACAGGCUGAUACUGCCCAAGAGCUCAUAUCGACGGCAGUGUUUGGCACCUCGAUGUCGGCUCAUCACAUCCUGGGGCUGGAGCAGGUCCCAAGGGUUUGGCUGUUCGCCAAUUAAAGUGGUACGUGAGCUGGGUUCAGAACGUCGUGAGACAGUUCGGUCCCUAUCUGCUAUGCGUGUAGAAGAAUUGAGAGGAGUUGACCCUAGUACGAGAGGACCGGGUUGAACAUACCACUGGUGGACCGGUUGUAGCGCCAGCUGCAGUGCCGGGUAGCUAAGUAUGGACGAGAUAACUGCUGAAAGCAUCUAAGCGGGAAACUCACCUCAAAACUAGUUCUUCCUAUAGAGCCGUGGUAGACCACCACGUUGAUAGGCUGGAUGUGGAAGCGCAGUAAUGCGUGCAGCUGACCAGUACUAAUAGCUCAAUUGGCUUGAUUU
rnacentral:rRNA from 1 species